ACCAGCAUGCCCCUGGUUUUGAAUAUUGAGAAAGGACUUAAAAAUAUAUGACAAGCUUCUUUGUCAUGUCACUGUAAAAGUGGAUGACUUUUUUCUAAUAUAGCCUUUCUCUGACAAUCCAAAAUUUUAAGAGUCCCUACUCCCAGGGACCUAACAUUCUUGUUCUCCCGUCUUUGGGUGGAUAGAAACCUAAGCCUCUACCCUCAGGAGUCUGCCAACUGGACCAGAUCUGGCUGGGUCUGUUUUUGUACAACAUGUGAGCUAGGAAUGGUUUGUAUAUUUUUUGACAGUUGUCAAAAAAGUAAAAGAAUGAGAUGUGACACACUGUCCGUGGUCUGCACAGGAUAAGCCAUUUGUCAACUGGCCUUUUGCAGUGGUUGGCCGGCUCCUGCUCUACAUCACAAUGACUGAUAACGACCCAGCUGCAGGAUGAGUUGGUUCACUUAGGUUCUGGUUUUCGAUUCUCUCUUCAUUUCUUUCAUCUGGGGAUUUCCUUUCUUCCUUGUAAAUCCAGCUAUGCAUUACUAUAACAGGGUGAUUAUGAGAAGAGUGGAAUAAGUGAGGAGAACAAAGAAAUCAAGAACAACAAUUGGCCAGGUGCAGUGGUUCACACCUGUGGUCCCAGCAGUCUGGGAGGCCAAGUUAGGUCUCAGGUGUUGCCUGUCUCCUCCCCGCAUGUCAGCGUCCACAGCAGGGACUGUGCCUUCUUGUUCACUGCCACGUCCCCAGGACCUGGGACAGAGCCUGGGACACAAACGGGGCAUGAGAAGCUGUGAAUUAGACAAACUGUGCCACAGUAAAGGCAUGACAGCGUACACAGCACCUAUGAAAAAUAAAAAUGCACUUCGGCGGCUGACACCUUAGGCGGUGAGCUAAUAAGACGUGAUAAAUUGGGUUCUUGUCCAGAGAUGAAAACGAGGACUUUAAGAGCAAUGACAAAUAAGGCUUUUACAUUUUAACCCUUUCACAGCAAACAGCAGUCCUCUCGGAGGAGAUUUUCAACAGGCUUAAGUAAACGGGUGUGUACCACGGGUCAACUGAGGAGGUCGUUUUAAGUUGGUGGGUGACAGUGAUAAGCAAAAGUCCACUGCGGCCUUUUGGGUUCUUUUGGCCAAAGUGGAGGUAUCUGUCUGCCUUAUCGCUGCAGCCUGUCUCUGUAAGCAGUGCGGCUUUCUUGCAAUGUGAUCACAGCUCUGGCACCUUUCGGAAUGGAGUCUCUCUCCUCGGAAGGAUGUUUCAGAGAGAGUGACCAAGGACCUUUUUAAAGCCAGGGAAAGCUAAGGACACUGUACACAGGAUAUUCAUGCACUCCAGGUUUUGUAGGAAUGCUGUGGGUACACUGCCUUGCUUAAUCCUCAUCUCUGCUCUAUGCGUUAAGGAAGUGAGGUUCCAGAAGGUUCUCUCUCCUACCCAAUGCCUACAGCCGGUAAGAGGAGGAGCUAGAGUUGGGAUUCAGGUGGGGCAGACCCCACAGCCCAUGUACUUAACCCCUCCCUGCACCCCCAGAGCCUGUCUAGACUCACAACAGAGUGUGGGGUUGAUUGGGGAGGGAGGCCCAGACUCCUUGGGAGGCUGAAAAACCGGGAAAAAGAGUUUGUUCUUUUUUAAUCCCCUUUCUCUCCCUCCCUCCUUCCCUUCCUUAAUGUUUUAUGGUGGAAAAUGUUAAACACACACAAAAGCAGACAGCAGAGCACACUGAGCUGCGACGGAGCCAUCACUCAGCUUUAACAAGGAUCGGUUCCUGGCCAGUCUGGUUUUAUGUCACCCUCACCUGCGCCCUGUCUCCAGUGCAUUGUGUCGAAGCAAAUCCCAGACAUAUUUCAUGUACAACUAUUUCAGUGAGUAUCAGCAAAAGGCCCCAUUUAGAGAGAACACCACCGCACAUAACCACAGAAAGCCUGAGGUUUCCUGAAGACAGAGGGUAGGAAGAGCCUCCGUCCCACACCUCUGACGCAGGGACGUGCGUCCGUCUCAAGGAUGCGGGAGGAACGUGAAUCUUAUUCAGUCACGUGUGAAAGAGAGAACUUCUUUCGCCUCAGAAUUAGUGCUUAAACCCCAGGGGGUCUAGUCAUCUAUCCCCCAGCGAAGGAAAUGUUUGACAUUUCAGAACGAGGAAAGACAGUUGAACUUCUGGGAACCUGCCAACUUCUCAAACAAUGGAUGCUCUCUGCCCCGACCCCAGCACGGGACACCUGGCGACAAUCCUGACUGCAGGGUCAUCCCCUCCGCGCCUCACUCAGCUCCUGCCCCGGCCCUGCCGGCACCUGGCGAGGCGGAUCCCCCCUCCCAGGGCUCAAGAGCCCCUUUCAGGGGCAGGCCCGGGAUGCCAGAGUUACAAGGGUGGAAAAAAACGUCCAUUUCCUUUGGUCAGUUUACCAGAUGAGUAUUACUCAACCACUUACAAUAUUUACAAGUCCAGCUCAUGGCAAUUAAAAAAAGACGUAAGAAAACAAACUCCUUUUUUUCAAACUGGGAAAGGAUAUUAAACACGGUCUCUCAGGAACAGGGCUGUGUUUUCUGAAGAUUGUUCAUCUGGAGGAAUGGUCCAUACUUUUUUCCAGUGGAACGCUGGAAACCGGCAAAUGACAGCGGGGCCUGUGCUGCCAACACCUCUGCCACCGUGGGGUGUAGGUAACGGCGCCGAGCGCUGACUGACGUGGAGGGGACAUGCAACGUGGAGUCUGGCUUUGCGUGGGGGGAGGGGGAGAGAUCUCUGCACGGACGUGCCCAGUAGCUGUAGGGGACUGUGGGAGGGGAGCCCGAUGGGCGAGGAGGGGGGAGGCAGGGAGGGCUGAAGGGCGAUUUCAUCUGGAAGUCUUUUUAUCUGGUUUUGCCAUGAAGAAAGCCAUCCUGGCCUGCCACUAGGGUGGGUUAUCUUGAACCCAAAUGCAUAUUCUUAUAGUCUGCCUUGCAUUUCAUAUUUCACAGGGCCAACAGGCAACCCCAUGCAGCUAAUAACCUUGAAAGAUGAACGGAAGACACUUCGGAGUGACUCCCGUAGCUGGCUGUUUUGGGUUUUGUUUUUUCAGUUGUGCCCGUCAAUAGGUGACAUUUGCUUAUGUAUUAACCAGGUGGUUCUCGCUGAUCAAACAGAUUUUUAGCAGCAGACUCCUGAGCGGAGGUGGGGAACGAGCAGGAGAAGAGACAAAACUGGAAUAUUUGUUUUCAAAAGUUCAUGUAAAUGUUCCCUUUAAUCCCAUGACUGGGCAAAUAAGCUAAGAAAAGAGUAGAUGCUGCGCAGAGAAGGUGAACGGAUUUACAUUCUGACUUUCAGAUGUGACGACUGGAGAAUGGCAGCUGCCCUGGCGGUCCCUGCCUAGACCUGCCCACUCCGGGGCUGCGUGUGUUCCGCUGGGGCCACCAGCUGCGGACACUACAGCCUUCCUGCCACUGGCCAGGCCGCUCAGCCGGGCUGGGGGAAACCUCCCUGCCUCUGACCUCACCCCUCUUGAAUCUAUCUCACCACCCCACAGUUUCAAUAACGCCUUCCUUAAAACACUGGCAAAAGUCUUCUCCAGUUUCUCAGUUUUGUUCUUAGCCUGGCAUCCAACCCAUCUCUG